rnacentral:rRNA from 1 species
GAUGAACGCUAGCGGCAGGCCUAACACAUGCAAGUCGAGGGGUAGAGGAAGCUUGCUUCCUUGAGACCGGCGCACGGGUGCGUAACGCGUAUGCAAUCUACCUUUUACAGAGGGAUAGCCCAGAGAAAUUUGGAUUAAUACCUCAUAGUAUUUUCGAAUGGCAUCAUUUGAUUAUUAAAGUUCCAACGGUAAAAGAUGAGCAUGCGUCCUAUUAGCUAGAUGGUAAGGUAACGGCUUACCAUGGCAACGAUAGGUAGGGGUCCUGAGAGGGAGAUCCCCCACUCUGGUACUGAGACACGGACCAGACUCCUACGGGAGGCAGCAGUGAGGAAUAUUGGACAAUGGGCGCAAGCCUGAUCCAGCCAUGCCGCGUGCAGGAAGAAGCAUCUAUGGUGUGUAAACUGCUUUUGUACAGGAAGAAACACCCCGACGUGUCGGGGCUUGACGGUACUGUAAGAAUAAGGAUCGGCUAACUUCGUGCCAGCAGCCGCCGUAACAC